rnacentral:rRNA from 1 species
GGAGGGGGUUAGCGUUGUUCGGAAUUACUGGGCGUAAAGCGCGCGUAGGCGGAUUACAAAGUUGGGGGUGAAAUCCCGGGGCUCAACCUCGGAACUGCCUCCAAAACUGCUAGUCUAGAGUUCGAGAGAGGUGAGUGGAAUUCCGAGUGUAGAGGUGAAAUUCGUAGAUAUUCGGAGGAACACCAGUGGCGAAGGCGGCUCACUGGCUCGAUACUGACGCUGAGGUGCGAAAGUGUGGGGAGCAAACAGGAUUAGAUACCCUGGUAGUCCACACCGUAAACGAUGAAUGCCAGUCGUCGGGUAGUAUACUAUUCGGUGACACNCCUAACGGAUUAAGCAUUCCGCCUGGGGAGUACNGUCNCAAGAUUAAAACUCAAAGGAAUUGACGGGGGCCCGCNCAAGCGGUGGANCAUGUUGGUUUAAUUCGAAGCAACGCGCCAAAACCUUACCNACCCCUUGACAUCCUGUGCUACAUCCAAAGAUNGAUGGUUCCCUUCCNGGGACCCAGUGACAGGUGCUGCAUGGCUGUCCUCAGCUCGUGUCGUGAGAUGUUCGGUUAAGUCCGACNAACGAGCGCAACCCACAUCCCUAGUNGCCAGCAGUUCGGGUGGGCACUAUAUGGAAACUGCCCGUGAUAAGCGGGAGGAAGGUGUGGGAUGACGUCAAGUCCUCAUGGCCCUUACGGGUUGGGUUACACANGUGAUACAAUGGUAGUGACAAUGGGUUAAUCCCAAAAAGGUAUCUCAGUUCGGAUUGUCGUCUGCGACUCGACGGCAUGAAGUCGGAAUCGCUAGUAAUCGCGUAACAGCAUGACGCGGUGAAUACGUUCCCGGGCCUU